CUGAGUAACUAGAAGCCUCCCAAAUGUAUUUUUUUUUUAAACAUUGUAGAUAAAAACUUGUAUUGUGAAAGACUAAAAGACUAAAAGCUUCCAGGUUAGAUAUAGUAUGUCACAUUUAACAAAAAACAUUUAAAAAGAAAACACCAAGCCUUCAAGUCUGACAGAAAGAUUGAUAGAACCCAUUUAAGGCAGUGAAUUAAACCCAAGUCAUGAUGUACACUUACUGGACUAGGCUUUUUAUCCACAACAAUCCCAGCAAGUAAUUGAGACUGUGGUCCUGCUGUCUUUAAGUCAUAUCGGUUUUGCUCACGAAUCUAUACGGAAAAAGACAAAACAUUAUUUGAAGCAUCUAUUGUCCCUAUAUAGCAAACCCCUCUCUCACCAUCAACUUUGUAUGGCCGAUGUACUGGGCAAUGGAGCAGAACUGGAGCACUGGACUUCAUAUUGCUUUACUCUGGGAUAAGGUGCCCCCUGCCUCUGACUGCACAGUACCUGCUGAUCCUAUGACUCCACUUCAACAUCACUAAAGAUUUACACUGGUCCCAA